UCCUACGGGGGGCAGCAGUGGGGAAUAUUGCACAAUGGGCGCAAGCCUGACCCAGCAACGCCGCGUGAAGGAAGAAGGCUUUCGGGUUGUAAACUUCUUUUCUUGGGGACGAAGAAAGUGACGGUACCCAAGGAAUAAGCCACGGCUAACUACGUGCCAGCAGCCGCGGUAAUACGUAGGGGGCAAGCGUUAUCCGGAUUUACUGGGUGUAAAGGGAGCGUGGGUGGCAUGGUAAGCCAGAAGUGAAAACCCGGGGCUCAACCCCGCGGAUUGCUUUUGGAACUAUCAGGCUGGAGUGCUGGAGG
rnacentral:rRNA from 1 species